GUCCCUGCAAUAUGGCGUCAGAAGGUGGAGACAACCGAUUCCUCCAAGACGCAAGGGAACUAGAGUCUCCAACAAGCCUAGCAACAAAGGGGAAGAAAGCAGCCAGCAGUGGACGACACAACAGGUAAGUGUCCAGAGGCAGAAAACACCACUGCCAACAGGACCAACAUGGACACCUACCUGACACAGCUGCAACAGGAACUCGAGCCGUCCACGCCGCUACCACUGGAUCCUGGAAAU